UUUUAGCAUGCUCUCUCCCCCAAUUCAACAGCUGCAGGAUUUACAGAUUGCUAAAAAUAGGCUAGUUUAUGAUUUUAAUGCCCUUUGGGACUGAUGUUUAAAAUACAAUACGAUUUCCGCCUUUUUGUUACCCUCCCUACCCAAUAUUAAUUUCAAGAUACGCCUGCCCUCCCAAUACUAUCAGUUGAAACUGAAUACACUAUUACAAUUGUCUCUGAAGUUUUUUUUCAGGGGGAGAAGAUAAAGCAAACUGGUAUCUUGCUUCUUUUUUCCUUGUUAUACUCUCCCUCCCUCCACUGUAUCUAUGAUACUUUAUAUCUGAAUCAAAAAUGACAGUUUGUUCCUUGCAAUCUAUUUUUCAUAAUUUGUUUGUGUAUCCUUGUGAUGAACUUUUCUAGUUCUAUUUUUCUUUUCUGAGAAUGUCCCUCAUUUCCCACAUCUAUGACGAUCCAUUCUGUGAUAUAGCAUACAACAGCAUUAUCCCAGACUGCCAAAUUAUUUUCCCCACAAGCCAAGUAUAAAACAUUUUUGGAGCAAUAAUGUAAGAGAGAAGAAAGUGAAAAAGCAUGGUGGCUCCUUUAUGCUUAAGUGCUUUGUGAAAAGGAAGAAAAGUGAUCUUUCAAAACCACCAAAACAGUUUGUCAUUUUCUUCCACAAUACUGAAUGGUUUGAAUUGAGCUUAGUUUUCAUUUUGGAACUAUUCCAAUCUCAGCCUUUACUUUGAGUUUUGCAUGAAGACCUGACCCUGCAAGGUGCCAAGUGUCUAACUCCUAUUAAAAUCAACAGGAAUUAAAGAUGUUUAGUACAUUGCAGGGUUAGGUCCCAACAUUGCACAGUACAAAUACUGCGCAAUGCACACUAUUUUACUAUGACAAAUAUAAAAAGACAAAAUGUAACAGCUUCAGAGUAUGAAACCUUAGGUGUAAAUCUAGAAAAGCAAGAGGUUUUUUUCAAGUUACUGGUACUGUGUAGCAAGGGUUGACUAGACAAGGAUGACUAAGAAACUGAAGACUGCUUGUAUUUUUUUUUUUUUUUUUUUUUAAAUCUGGUCAGAGGAACCAGUGAUUUUAAGUAAAUUACCUCACACCACCAGGGAUGGAAACUAACAGCAGCAAUUAGAAAGUUUGGAGUUGCAUCUUUCCAAGGAUUAAUUUCAGCUCUGGGGGUUUGCAAUGUACAGCUUAAAAGUCUCUCAUGCUCUUGCCUCCCUUACAUAUUUACAAUUCCUAUCCGAUUUUAGUGGCCUCUACCUCAAAAAUUGUUUGAGCUAGAACCAAUGUUGUAUAGUAUAUAAAAACUUUUAUUCUGUCAAUAGUGAAACAUUUGUGUCUCUCUCUAUUCUUGUGUUUUAAUGAACUCCUAGAAUCUUGAUGAAACUGUAGUUAAAGGACAGACUAGUCCAAAUGACAUGAUUUUAAAGCCAAGUGUAACCUAGUUUGUUUUUUCAAUAUUUGUUAUUGAACCUUAAUUACACAAAAUGUCAAUAGUUCCACAAAACAAAUGGACAUCACUAACUAGAUUUACACAUAUUUCAAAGAAUUUGAAACUACUGCUACAUGGCAUAAAGGGUUGGGAGGUAAGUG